UACAGAGGGUGCAAGCGUUGUUCGGAAUUAUUGGGCGUAAAGCGCGUGUAGGCGGCAUGGCAAGUCGGGUGUGAAAGCCCUCAGCUUAACUGAGGAAGUGCGCCCGAAACUGCCGUGCUUGAGUGCCGGAGAGGGUGGCGGAAUUCCCCAAGUAGAGGUGAAAUUCGUAGAUAUCGAGAGGAGCACCGGUGGCGAAGGCGGCCUUCUGGACAGUGACUGACGCUGAGACGCGAAAGCGUGGGGAGCAAACAGGG
rnacentral:rRNA from 1 species